GGACAAACAAAAUUACACUUAAGUUGCUAUGGGACACUCUCUUGCCACAAUGUCACACAAGUGACUCUUUAAAAUACAACUUUCAACCUAGUGUGUGAUUAUUAAUGAGGAUUUGUUAACAAUCUAAACACCAUUUCAGCUGAUUCCUGUCAUAGGUAGGCAUUUAAAAGAUUACCUUGGUUUCUCCUCUUCCAUUUCCAAUUUUUUUCUUUUUUAGAGAUGAGAUCUCACUAUGUCGCCCAGGCUGGUAUUGAACUCCUGAGCUCAAGCAAUCCUCCUGUCUCAGCACCCCCCAAAGUUUUGGGAUUACAGGGAAGAGCCCAAGCAGGCCAAGGAAGGGAAGGCCCAGAAGAAGAAGAGAGGAGACCGCGUGUAGGACCCCUUCCUCUAUACAUCCGCCCUCCAACAAGAACAUCACUGGUGUGCACAGGCAUCCUUGGCAUCUGCAUAAAACGAGUCCCAUUUAAAAACAGAAUGACAAUUAGAACCAGGGCUCGGUGCUUUGAUGGAUUAUGCAUUUAGUCCUCCUGACAAUCUCACAAAGAGGUACUAACUCCAUUUUACAGUGAUAAAAUUGAGAUUGAGGGAAAUCAUGUGGAAAUGGAUCAUAUGCACCAAGAUUAUGUGGAGAGUGUUGGAUCUAAGCCUCCAGUUCAGGCAGUCUGAUUCCAGAGGAUCGCUAUCUUCAGGCAAUCAUUCCAAGGCAUUAACUAUUCUUACAUGGUGACUGCAUCAGAUUAUCCUGAAAUUCAGCUGCCUCCCUAGAUGUCACGGGGCAGCCAGCCAAAAACAUAAGCCACGUAAGGUAAGCUAUAAACAUGGUAAGCUAUGAAAAGUAUUUACAAGGUUAUCAGUCUGUGCCAACUGAAGGGGAAAUGCAGGUGCUCAGAGUUUUUAAAAAGAGAAUUGAAAAGUAAGUUUAUGGCUACCAGCAGGCCACAGGUGCUGUCUAACAGUAGGACAAGGCUGUGGUAGACGGGGCAUCAAACUCCCCCCAGCCUGGGGGAAUUAUCCCUGCUAACCUCUAUUCUGGAUCUGUGCUCACUGAGCAAUGUUCUGACUGGGAACAGCGCAGGUCAGGAGAGAGGAUAUGAUAAAAGGUACGGAGAAAACUGACAUUCUGGGUCUAAAUGAUUUCAUCUGAGUUUGUACUAUAUCAGCAGCUUUCUCCACACUGGAAAGCCCAAGGGAUGAAAUACUGGAGUCAGGUGAUGCACCCAAGAAAAGUGAGCCACGGCACCCAAAGAGCGCCUCUGACUUACAGGGCGAGGCCUGGCCAAGAAACCUGAUACCUGCCCUCCCCCCCCCAUGCACCUCAAGAGAAGACUGCAGAGGGGAGAGGGGAGAGCUGGCCUGAGGGUGGCACGGUCAUGCUGAGUUCUGACCCGGAAUAGGAAAGCCCAAAUACACCACCUGAGCCUAAAAAAACCUACAUCCUCCUGUCCCUAAAUAAUGGAUGUGUCGUUUUCUAACAAAGCUAGGGAAGGUAGGAGAAGGUAAAGCUGCAACACAAAACAGAAAGCCACUACUCAGGGAAGACUGCCACCGUGCCACGGCAAGUCUGCCCAGGGUGGGUCAUGAUGCCCUGCCUUCAUUCCUUCAUUCCCCUAUGCUUGUGAGUUUCUUCUAUGUGCUAGCCACUGCAGAGACUGCGGAAUGUGAAAGGCACAGUUCCUAUCCAUGAGCAAGAUGCAAUCCAGCAGAUAAACAGAAAGCUAUUUAUUUCUAUACCACAAAAAUAAUCACCUCCACACAGAGGAAUAUGCAAACUGCACUGAACGUAAUGCCACUGAUUUUCUGAUAAACCAUUACUCUAUGUGUCACUAAGAAAGAAAAAAAAAAUGCUGCCAAUUAAAUUUUGGCAAGUCACUGACUGUGCUGAUUUCAGAGGUGUUCCAGCCAAGGAAAGGUGUCUAUCACAAUCAAUGGAAUGAAGAGAAACAGGGAAGCAUCACCUAUGAGGCAGCCAUUGGGCCAGCAUGGACAGAGGGCAGGUGCUGCGGGCAGAGCAUGCCACAGAUGAUGGCCUCUCAGGCCUGGAGGGGAGGGGACCCACAAGAAGGGUGAAAAGGGCUCUGUGUGUGUGCUGGUGUCUCACUGUUCCAGUGGUGAGGAGACAGACGGUCAGGCAGGG
rnacentral:lncRNA from 1 species